rnacentral:rRNA from 1 species
UACAGAGGGUGCGAGCGUUGUCCGGAAUCACUGGGCGUAAAGGGCGCGUAGGCGGUCUUGUAAGUCGGGGGUGAAAUGCUGCGGCUCAACCGCAGCGCUGCCUUCGAGACUGCAAGACUGGAGCACGAUAGAGGCGGAUGGAAUUCCCGGUGUAGCGGUGGAAUGCGUAGAGAUCGGGAAGAACACCAAUGGCGAAGGCAGUCCGCUGGGCCGUUGCUGACGCUGAGGCGCGACAGCGUGGGGAGCAAACAGG